CCCACCUCUGCUAAGAUUCCAGAGUUUUAACUACAUCAUUAAAACCAUCAUAAUGAACAAGCUUUUUCACCUUCUAUAAUACAGAUAGACAUGUGGCUCAUUCCAUUCUAAGCUCCCCGACAGGUGGGACUGUUUUUUGCCUUUCUUCCUAUCCAUAGCACUUAGCUCAGUGGCUGGCACAUAGUAGACACUUAAUAAGUAUUUGUGGAUUAAUUGAUUGUGACCCAAAAGAUUGUAUAUGGGUGGUAUGCUCAGGCACCUCUGGAAAUCUGGAAGAUCUUGGCAUGGGGCAAUAUGUCUAAAAGGAUGCAUUAUUGACAACUUCUCUAGUUCAAAGGUUUUAUGACCAUGGGAAAAGCUUCUGUGUG
rnacentral:lncRNA from 1 species